GGUCAGCCCCGUCGGCGCAGCAGGUCUCGACCAGGGAGACGAUGUCCCGGACCAGGUGGCUGAUCUCCUGGAAGGUGCCGUUGGAAUAUUUCCGGCUGGUGUCAAUGAUGGUCCUGGGGGCAAGGACAGGGAGAGCCAGGUGUCAAGCCUCCUGGGAGGGCACCAGCAGCAGGAGGUACCUACAGGGUUCUGAAGUUCUCCUUGCCCAGGAUCUUGUACUCCUGGCAGACCUUCUCCCGGACAUAAGCUUUCCCUGGAAGUGCAGGAGAAGGAGGAAUUGUGAGUAGGAUUUGGAGGUCCCUGGGGAGAUGUUGGCACAGCCAGUCUGGGAGAAGCAUCCCUGGUGUCCAGGCUGCUGCUCCAGCUCUGCAGCCAGGAAAAAAGGGGCAGGGAGAAAAUCCCCUCUGGAGCUGGGAGAGCUACAGCAGGAAUGUCGGCUCUCGGUCCCAACCUGUGGCAUUUGUGUUCUCUUGUACAAAGCCGUGUGGGAGAGGUGAGUUUUGGCAGCUGGGGGAUUCCCUGUGGAGCUGAGGAGGCAGCAAAGGGCGGCAGAGCAUCGUCUCCACCCAGGGAAAAAUGACAAUUCAGCAUCUCCUCAUCUUCUGGGGUCCUCAGACAAGCCGAGGAAGAGGAGGAGAUCCAGCUGAAGUGAUCCUCACUGGUUCUGCCUGGGCAAUCGGAGAGAGAGAAGCCAAGAGGGAGGGAUGGAGAUCCAGCUGCUGCAGUGAGAGCCCUGGCCCCAAAUCCACCCAGCCUCCCCAUGCACCCUGCGCUCCCCCGAGGCCAGAUGUUCCCUCUCAGACCACACCCCUGGGACAAAGACAGAGCUGGUUCUUAUGGAUGAUCCCGGGUUUUUCUCCCAGGAAUCUGCACUGACAGUGAGCUGCAGCUUGGGACCAAAUCCUGCCGAGGCAGGAGAUAACCAUGUCCUGUUCUUGAUGGUUUAUGUGUGAAAACUGGAAAUAAAUAAUUAGGGACUCAU